UACAGAGGUCCCAAGCGUUGUUCGGAUUCACUGGGCGUAAAGGGUGCGUAGGUGGCUACUGAAAGUUUGAUGUGAAAUCUCCGGGCUUAACCCGGAAAAUGCAUUGAAUACUGCAGAGCUGGAGGGUUGGAGGGGGGACUGGAAUUCUCGGUGUAGCAGUGAAAUGCGUAGAUAUCGAGAGGAACACCAGUGGCGAAGGCGAGUCCCUGGACAACACCUGACACUGAGGCACGAAGGCUAGGGGAGCAAACAGG
rnacentral:rRNA from 1 species